rnacentral:tRNA from 1 species
GCCGGCGUAGCUCAGUGGUAGAGCAGCGGUUUCGUAAACCGCAGGCCGUGGGUUCGAAUCCCACCACCGGCUCCA